AAUGAACGCUGGCGGCAUGCCUAACACAUGCAAGUCGAACGAGACCACCGGGAGUGUUGGCGCAUGGGGGUGUCGCGCGUCGGAAGCUUCCCGUAGGUUCGGAAUAACUCUCUGACAGGGGUGCUAACGCCGGAUAAUUUCUGCUAACCCAGCAUAUAUCGCACUGGGAUGGGCACGCGUUGGAUCAGCUAGUUGGGAUUGUAAAAGCCGACCACGGUCACGAUGCAUAGCUGGGCAGAGAGGGUGCUCAGCCACACUGGGACUGAGACACGGCCCAGACACCUACGGGAGGAAGCAGUGGGGAAUCUUACGCAAUGGGCGAAAGCGUGAUAUAGCAAAACCGCGUGAGUGAUGAUGGAGUUCUGCUGGUAGAGCGCUGUUGUUGGGAGAGAAGAAAAGCUCGUUUAUCCGGGAUGGUAAUGACGGUACCGAAAGAAUAAGCACCGGCUAACUUCGUG
rnacentral:rRNA from 1 species